rnacentral:misc_RNA from 1 species
CUCACCUGGGGUCAUCGCGUUUUGCUGCAUAUUUGAGUGCAAAGAUGGCAGCAACAAGAAGACUUCAAAAGGAAUUACAAGACAUUCGGAAGUCGGGAAUGAAAUCUGUCAGAGAUAUACAGGUUGAUGAAUCAAACAUCCUUUUGUGGCAAGGUCUUGUAGUGCCUGAUAACCCACCUUAUAACAAAGGAGCCUUCAGAAUAGAAGUAAAUUUCCCUGCAGAAUAUCCUUUUAAACCUCCAAAAAUCACAUUUCGGACCAAGAUUUACCAUCCAAACAUUGAUGAGAAGGGACAAGUUUGUUUGCCUAUCAUCAGUGCUGAAAAUUGGAAGCCAGCUACAAAAACAGAACAAGUUAUUCAAGCUCUUGUGGCACUAGUGAAUGACCCUGAGCCUGAACAUCCAUUACGAGCAGACCUGGCAGAAGAAUACACAAAAGACAAGAAAAGAUUUUUCAAGAAUGCUGAGGAAUUCACCAAAAAGCAUUCCGAAAAGAGACCCCCUGAUUAAUUCAGAAAGUGACAACUCUCCACAAGCUUGAACCGAUUGCCAGACACUAAAUGUGCCAGCAUCUGGGAAGGUGAGCUGGAAAUACAAGUAUCAACAAUCCCUCAGCUGGGUCACCAGCUGGCAGACAAUAUGAGGCACCCACACACAGAGAUAUCAGCUGAUUGUUGUGUUUUCUCUCUGUUUUUUCCAUAAUUUAGGUUUGUUUGUUAAGCGCAAAAUUACACAAUUUUUCCUGUGCCCACCACGAGUCUCGAACCCGAUGUUUAACGUUAUAAACCUUCAUAAAAUCCAUAGGACUAACACGUAAGUAUGUACAUCAUGUAUAGUAUACUGACUCUACAAAAUUUUAGUUUGUGAAAUAUUUCUAUGAAAUAAACUGAAAUUGUGUAAAAAUAUUA